rnacentral:rRNA from 1 species
UCAUCCGGGCUUUUGCCCGGUGCACUCUUCUGCUGUCAGGCCAGCAUCAGUUCGGGCGGUCGGAUAAAGGCUUCGGGAAUGUAGCUCCUCUCGAGGAGUGUUAUAGCCCGUUGCAAAAUGCGGCCAGCUUGGACUGAGGUCCGCGCUUCGGCUAGGAUGCUGGCGUAAUGGUUGUAAGCGGCCCGUCUUGAAACACGGACCAAGGAGUCUAACAUCUGUGCGAGUGUUUGGGUGUCAAACCCGUACGCGUAAUGAAAGUGAACGGAGGCGGGAACCCCUCGGGGUGCACCGUCGACCGAUCCUGAUGUCUUCGGAUGGAUUUGAGUAAGAGCAUAGCUGUUGGGACCCGAAAGAUGGUGAACUAUGCCUGAAUAGGGUGAAGCCAGAGGAAACUCUGGUGGAGGCUCGCAGCGGUUCUGACGUGCAAAUCGAUCGUCAAAUUUGGGCAUAGGGGCGAAAGACUAAUCGAACUAUCUAGUAGCUGGUUCCUGCCGAAGUUUCCCUCAGGAUAGCAGUAACGUUUUCAGUUUUAUGAGGUAAAGCGAAUGAUUAGAGGCCUGGGGGUUGAAACAACCUUCACCUAUUCUCAAACUUUAAAUAUGUAAGAAGUCCUUGUUACUUAGUUGAACGUGGACAUUUGAAUGUAUCGUUACUAGUGGGCCAUUUUUGGUAAGCAGAACUGGCGAUGCGGGAUGAACCGAACGCGGAGUUAAGGUGCCGGAAUGCACGCUCAUCAGACACCACAAAAGGUGUUAGUUCAUCUAG